AUACGUAGGGGACAAGCGUUGUCCGGAAUGACUGGGCGUAAAGGGCGCGUAGGCGGUCUAUUAAGUCUGAUGUGAAAGGUACCGGCUCAACCGGUGAAGUGCAUUGGAAACUGGUAGACUUGAGUAUUGGAGAGGCAAGUGGAAUUCCUAGUGUAGCGGUGAAAUGCGUAGAUAUUAGGAGGAACACCAGUGGCGAAGGCGGCUUGCUGGACAAAUACUGACGCUGAGGUGCGAAAGCGUGGGGAGCGAACAGGAUUAGAUACCCUGGUAGUCCACGCCGUAAACGAUGAAUGCUAGGUGUUGGGGAAACUCAGUGCCGCAGUUAACACAAUAAGCAUUCCGCCUGGGGAGUACGACCGCAAGGUUGAAACUUAAAGGAAUUGGCGGGG
rnacentral:rRNA from 1 species